rnacentral:rRNA from 1 species
CCUACGGGUCGCACCAGUGGGGAAUAUUGCACAAUGGGCGCAAGCCUGAUGCAGCCAUGCCGCGUGUAUGAAGAAGGCCUUCGGGUUGUAAAGUACUUUCAGCGGGGAGGAAGGUGUUGUGGUUAAUAACCACAGCAAUUGACGUUACCCGCAGAAGAGGCACCGGCUAACUCCGUGCCAGCAGCCGCGGUAAUAUGGAGGGUGCAAGCGUUAAUCGGAAUUACUGGGCGUAAAGCGCACGCAGGCGGUCUGUCAAGUCGGAUGUGAAAUCCCCGGGCUCAACCUGGGAACUGCAUUCGAAACUGGCAGGCUAGAGUCUUGUAGAGGGGGGUAGAAUUCCAGGUGUAGCGGUGAAAUGCGUAGAGAUCUGGAGGAAUACCGGUGGCGAAGGCGGCCCCUGGACAAAGACUGACGCUCAGAUGCGAAAGCGUGGGGAGCAAACAGGAUUAGAUACCCGCGUAGUC